UCACUUUUACUUGUUCUCAACUGAAACAAUUAGAGCAGGAGACAUAUUUAUGACAGCUCUGAGAACCAACUUGAAGUAAGAAUGUUUCUGAGUCAGAUACAGGAAUCAUUUGAACAUGUUGUCCAUUGUAUCUGCCUCCAGUCAUUGUUGAACUGAAAUGAUGUUACUGCUGGCCAACUUCUCAGUUAUAACACUGAACUCAUUCUUCAGGUUGAAGGACAACCUCUUGCCAGUGACUCCUCUGAGACUGAGAUGUCCAGAACUACAGAACAGAUUCCCCAGGGAUCUCCAUGCUCCCAGAUGCAGGGCUCAGAUUACCCAGAACCCCAACCUCUGAAGAAAAAUAUUCAAAUGACUAUUUCCCUUGUAAACUACACGGAUUCUGAUGAAUCUCAGAGUCAAGUCUCAUUUAAUGAGGUGUAAGAGAACGAGACAACAAUUCCAGAUGUGAGCCACAUGGAUGCAGCACCAAAGCAGGACACCAUGACACCUCCACAAGCCCAUUGUAGCCAAUCACCAAAAAAAGACAGAGGUCGUCGGCCUUUAAAGAGAAGGAUGUGGGACAAAGAGGAGAUCCGUGCUGUCGAGGCGCACAUGAUGUCCUUCAUCACUUCAUGUCGUGUUCCUGGGAAAAGGGACUGUGAUAAGUGCCUUGAACUCGAAAAUAUAGCUCUCAAAAACAGAUUGGUUAGCUAUAAAGUUCUACAUUAAGAAUCGAAUCACAGCUCUCAAGAACAAAGUUUAAAAUGAUCAUUUAAUGUCAGCAACAUGUUCAAUUGUUUCCUUCAUACAUUGCUUUGUUUGCAAUGCAACGACAUUUGGAUACUGUUCAGUGUUCUGCUAGAUGAAUUAUUGUUGUGCAACAAUAGGUAUGGGUGUAAAUCACCAGCUUCAUGACAAUACAAUAUAUCGAUUUGUUUGGAUGACAAUAUGAUGUUUGCCGAUUUCACAAAGUCUGUCACGAUACGAUUUCGUUUCGAUACGAUUCAGCAGCCUGCGAUCGAUAUGACGCGAUAUUAUAUUAUUUGACCAUUUUAUUUCUGAGCUCUGUUUGUUGUUUGAGCGGAGGCGCGCUUGCCCAGAAAUGGUGCAAGAUGUGCUAUGUGAAUUUCAAAAUAAAGGUGUAUCUUUAAGAUGACGAUAUGGAUCAAUGUUUUCAUUUUGCGUCGAUGUAAUCGGAUCAUUAAAGGCGCUGUAUGUAAGAAUGUGGCCAAAAUGGUUACUGCACUCAAAUUCAAAAUACUGCCGUGAGUCGUGUCCGCCCCCCCUCCCCUACAGA